GUGGGGAAUAUUGUGCAAUGGGCGAAAGCCUGACCCAGCAACGCCGCGUGAAGGAAGAAGGUUUUCGGAUUGUAAACUUCUGUCCUCAGGGAAGAAGAAAGUGACGGUACCUGAGGAGGAAGCCCCGGCUAACUACGUGCCAGCAGCCGCGGUAAUACGUAGGGGGCGAGCGUUGUCCGGAAUGACUGGGCGUAAAGGGCGCGUAGACGGCUGUCUAAGUCUGGAGUGAACGUCCUGCUUUCAAGGUGGGAAUUGCUUUGGAGACUGGAUGGCUUGAGUGCGGAAGAGGUAAGUGGAAUUCCCAGUGUAGCGGUGAAAUGCGUAGAGAUUGGGAGGAACACCAGUGGCGAAGGCGACUUACUGGGCCGUAACUGACGUUGAUGCGCGAAAGCGUGGGGAGCGAACAGGAUUAGAAACCCUAGUAGUCC
rnacentral:rRNA from 1 species